rnacentral:lncRNA from 1 species
UCUCUCCUUUGCUGUACCUUGAUCCUCUUCGUUUAGCUUUUAGAAGUGUGGCCUUGUGGUUAACAAGCUUUGUACUUUUGAACCCUUAUUCUGGUUUUACUUUUUAUUAAAUUUUUUGUAGUAUGAGCCUCUAGCUUUUCCUGAUUCCUCAAAAAAAAAAAAACAACCUCUGUGCCACCAAAAAUUUAUCUCCAAUGAUCCUAUUCAAUUUCACUCUGAAGUUAUCUACAAUGUCAUGAAGAGAUGCGGCUAGUAACAUCGAUCUAUCUGUAACGUACGUGCAGUGCGUACGUGAAAUCUAUCUUCAUGCAUGCCCUAAAUUACAAGGAGCAAAGCAAUCCAAAGAAAGAGUACAUUGUACGUAUAGUACCAUUUUGGGGACAACAAACUGCAUGCGAGAUUUGCUUGUACGUUACAAAGGACUUUUCUAUAUGCGGUUGGAUAGAUAUAGUUGUCGCAUCACUUGGCGCAACCUUCACCCAGCGGCCGGCCAACACAUGAUGAUUCGAACUAUAGCUAGCUGCCGCAGAAAAUGUGGCCGGCCGGUGAUCAGAUCAUCACCAGUUCGUCACGAUCUGGU